GUUGGAGCGAUGGCGGCGGCGGCUCCUCCUGACGCCUCUUCUCUCUCUUUCCCUCCCCAGGUGGGCUCGCGAGCGGCUCCUCGGGGAUCGGCACAUUGGGCAAGGCAGAGAGAAACCCCCAGCUUGCCUGGACCAUCACCACCCAGCAUCACCCACCUUGGGGGCUGGGGAGAAGUGGCCAGAGUGACAGGGAGCUGACAUGGGCAGAGCCCCCACCCCUCAGCACCCUCACCCUGGAAGUCCAAGGAUGGAGCAGCCCCAUGAGGUGCCAUGGAUGGGGUUUUCCUGCCUGGAGGAGCCACCUGGCCAGGAGGAGAAGGUUGCUGUGCCAUGGAUUUGCUGGGACAAAGUUGGACGUGGCUACUGAGGACAGGUCGUGUCCCUCCAAGGGCAGCACCAGGCAUGGGGGGUGAGCUCUGCACCCCCAGGGGUGCCCCAGACCCCUUUGACUCUUCCAGAUGGGGCAGCUGCCCAGAGCGUGGCAAGGGGCUUUGGCAACCACACCCCACGGAUGGGCUGUCAGGACCCCCCACAAGCAACUGACAACAACAGGAACAUGAGUGAUGAAGUGCCACCAUGAGCCCUGGGGACAGUAUGAGGGACAAAAGACCCCAGCACCAAACUCAGCUCUUGGUGACACGAGCAGAUGCUGUGGGGUCCAGGUGACCAAGAAAGGCUGGAAGAAACCCAGGGCUGGGUGUGAAGUGUGGGCAGAAUCCCUGCAAACGCCCUUCCCGUCCCUCCUUCCCCGCACAAGCAGCCAGACGUGCCCAG